rnacentral:rRNA from 1 species
CAAACUAAACAGGAUUCUCUUAGUAACGGCGAGUGAAAAGAGAUUAGCCCAACAUCGAAGCUUACAUACAUUUUGUGUGUCAUGCCAUGUGAUGUUAAAGGGUUCGCUAUUACAGACUGACCGACUUGAAGUCCAAUUUUGAAUGUGGCAUUGUGUGUAAACCCAUAGAUGGUGAAAGGCCCGUUCAGGUUGGUUAUUAGAUGAGAGAGUUUUGUUUAUAUGCUUACCUUUUGGAGUCGGAUUGCUUGAGAGUGCAGUCCAAAAUUGGUGGUAAACUCCAUCAAAGGCUAAAUACCUGUACGAGUCCGAUAGUUAACAAGUACCGUGAGGGAAAGUUGAAAAGUACUCUGAAGAGAGAGUAAACAGUACGUGAAACUACUUGGAGGUUAACCAGAUAGAGUCAAGCUGCUUGUUACCUAACAUUGCAUUACGUGCCUUGUAUGUGCUUUUCCAAAUGCCUUGCAUAGUACAUUGUUGUACAGUUUCUUCGGAAACGUGAACUACAUUGUUUUGUUGUUCUAUGUGCUUGGUAUUUGUUGGCACGUAUUGUUUAUGUUGGUAGCUAGUGCCACAAUCGGCUAUGUUAGCCAGUAUGUAUCAAUCAGCUUUUGUUCGGCAAGAUGAAACACUCUUGUUGAGCAUUUAGUGUAACAGUUUACUUGAUGACGUUGCACUACGAAGUCAUGGAGAAAAAGGCUAUGGCCCGUUGAUUGAUAUAGAUGCUGUGCACAUGACCGGUAACAUGUACUCACGUAAGUCUGUUUAGUUUUCUAAUUUCGGUUGGUAUACUACGUAGACGAGUCUGUUAAUUGUGGUUCUGUGGUA